GGUGAUAUAACAUAAUGGUUAUGUGAAAGACUUUCAUGCCUGGGACUCAAAAGUCCCAGGUUCAAUCCCUUGUACCACCA
rnacentral:tRNA from 1 species